rnacentral:rRNA from 1 species
CAGCAGGUUAGUAGCAAGUACAGAUGCUGGCGACCGGCAAACGGGUGCGGAACACGUACAGAACCUUCCUUUGAGCGGGGAAUAGCCCAGAGAAUUUGGAUUAAUACCCCAUAGUAUAAUGAAUGGCAUCACUUAUUAUUAAAGAUUUAUCACUCGAAGAUGGCUGUGCGGCUGAUUAGGUAGUUGGCGGGGUAAAGGCCCACCAAGCCUGCGAUCAGUAACUGGUGUGAGAGCACGACCAGUCACACGGGCACUGAGACACGGGCCCGACUCCUACGGGAGGCAGCAGUAAGGAAUAUUGGUCAAUGGAGGCAACUCUGAACCAGCCAUGCCGCGUGGAGGAUGAAGGCCCUCUGGAUUGUAAACUUCUUUUAUAUGGGACGAAAAAAGGCUUUUCUAAGUCGUCUGACGGUACCAUAUGAAUAAGCACCGGCUAACUCCGUG